GUAUUGAUUGCGGGUUAGCGCAUAAAUGAGGUCAUUCUACACUUUUAAAAGGGGGGGGUUUGUGUGAAAACGCGAGCCCCCUCCGAGAUGAUCCCAAAGGGUGCCCACGCGGCGAUGCACAAAGGGUGAGAUGGAUUAUUAUGUGAGAGGACACGCUCGGGCGUGCACGACAUUGAGUCAGCGACAGCCCUCACAUGCCCCUCACAUUUUGUUACGAUAAUGAUCCUUCCGCAGGUUCACCUACGGAAA
rnacentral:misc_RNA from 1 species